UUUUAAUAGAGACAGGGUUUCACCAUGUUGGCCAGGCUGGCCUCGAACUCCUGACCUCGUGAUCUGCCCGCCUCAGCCUCCCAAAGUGCUGGGAUUACAGCUACUGAAAUUCCUAGAAGAAUCACCACUGUGAUGGAGCCUAUAAUCCGGAUGUCGUUGGUUGGAUCCACCAUCAUCGAAUCACUCUCCUGGGGAAACAAAUUAUUAAGUGCUUAGAGAUACAGCUUUUUGCAUAAGAAUGACUAGUUAUUUCUGUGUGUCAAGGGGAAUCCUAGCAGAAUAAAAACGGAUGGUUUACGGUGUAAAUCCUGAAAGUUAAGUGGUGUCCUAUGUAAGAACAGAUGACACAAACCUGAUAAUGCAUCUCUUGAAGCGUUUGGGGUGAGCCCCGAGGCCUGGGUGCAGGAGUGGUUUACUGAGUGGCAAUCAUCAGCAAUGCCAUCUGGGGCACUGGAGAAGACCCAUGCUGAGAGGACCUGCGAGAGAGCCAGUGGGUCUCAUCCAAGGUACAAAGAAACCAUAUAUUUUGCUAUAAUAUUCCAUACCUUCUUACUAGACACAUAGUCACUCUCCACUUUAUAAACAUGUUUCGUUAUGAGAAAUGGGUCAUGUCAAUGAAGAUAUUCCAAUUUUAGUUGAGAAAAAUUUUGCUUUGCUGUUUAAAUUUUGGGUUAUUUUGUUUAGGACACUGGGGACUAAUUAGCAAUAUGUUACUUUCACUU